UACAGAGGUCCCGAGCGUUGUUCGGAUUCAUUGGGCGUAAAGGGUGCGUAGGUGGCGCUGUAAGUGGGGUGUGAAAUCCCGGGGCUUAACUCCGGAACUGCAUUCCAUACUGCGGUGCUUGAGGACUGGAGAGGAGACUGGAAUUUACGGUGUAGCAGUGAAAUGCGUAGAGAUCGUAAGGAAGACCAGUGGCGAAGGCGGGUCUCUGG
rnacentral:rRNA from 1 species